GCUCCAGCUAAAAAUGGGGGUUUCAAGGCUUCCCAAAGACCAUAGUUCUUGUUCCAAACAUCAUCCAAAACCAGCAAAAACUUUUUCCCAGCUAAUGCCUCCCUCAGCUUGACCUGAACUUCAUUGUACUCCUUCAAAUCACACGGAUGGCAAGUUAUAGACUCAAGGAUUGCCUUAGCUAUUCUCAUUACAUCAAAAUCAUCAGAAAC
rnacentral:misc_RNA from 1 species